GAUCCUGGCUCAGGACGAACGCUGGCGGCGUGCCUAACACAUGCAAGUCGAACGGAACUGUUUUGAAAGAUUUCUUCGGAAUGAAUUUGAUUUAGUUUAGUGGAGGACGGGUGAGUAACGCGUGAGUAACCUGCCUUCAAGAGGGGAGUAACAUUCUGAAAAGAAAUGCUAAUACCGCAUGAUAUAUCGGAACCACAUGUUUGUAUAUCAAAGAUUUAUUCGCUUGAAGAUGGACUCGCGUCCGAUUAG
rnacentral:rRNA from 1 species